CAAUAUGUACAUGUUGAUGCAAGAUGAGCACGUGCAUAGCUGUCAUUUCUUUUUAUGUCAGGUGUUGUAUUGCUACGUUAUGUUUUGUUGCAUUUGGUUUCGUUUACUGUCUGUGAGAUACCAGUUGUUUGAAGGCACAGUUGCAUUACUUGAGAGGAAGGGCUAUGGUUUCCUGUGCACGGAUGAAGUUUAGGUGACGCCAUGCAAAAGACAAAUGAAACGAACUGCGUGUUGAGAUAACGACCAAACUAUUUCCGUUGUGGAACACGAUAAAGGUCUUUGGGGAUACAUUGUCAGUAAUAGCAAUACAGUAACAUAAGAAGUACUAUGUCAUGAACAAACACCACUAGCAUACUGAGGUACUAAGGAAUAGUUUUUCAUACACAUGACAUCUUCUGUAUUUAAUAUCCCUCACAACGUCCCAGAGAAUAUCCCCCUUUAUAAUGACCUCAGAAGAAUUCAGGUGUCAGGUUUUGGGAACAGGUCUUUGAAUUUUAUUUGGUGUUGAUUUAAACUCAUAGAGCUUCAGUCUUAAAACUCAACCCCCACAUCACAUGUACAGUACAUUUACCAUACUGUUGCCAAGGUUAAAAGAAUGAGGAGACUGACAGACAUUAUACGGUUGCUUUCUGACCUUUAGUGUGAAAUGGAUAUGAACACAAACACACUGGCAACACAAUCUCCAAACACAGUAGAGGAAGAGAGGGGACAGACACACAACAAUACAAAAGACAAGGACCAUGAACAAAAAAACAGACAAAUACAGAAAUGUAACAACAGACCAAACAACAAACAUCACAAUGAACACAUGAUGGAACGGAACAAAUAUUCACAACCACACACACAAACAUUUAUUUUUCUUCCUCACACAUCCACACUGUAUGAGCAGGGUCACAAGUCACAGCAAAGAAUUAUAAUACAAAAAAACCCUUGGGUCACAAUGCUCUUACCAUCCAGUCCAGCAGUAUUGACUGGGGCGCCAUUGUAAGGAAGCUGACUGACUCCACC
rnacentral:lncRNA from 1 species